UACAGAGGGUGCAAGCGUUAAUCGGAAUUACUGGGCGUAAAGCGUGUGUAGGUGGUUAGAUAAGUUAGAUGUGAAAUCCCCCGGGCUUAACCUGGGCACUGUGUUUAAGACUGUUUAACUAGAGUACUGUAGAGGAUAGUGGAAUUUCCAGUGUAGCGGUGAAAUGCGUAGAUAUUGGAAGGAACACCAGUGGCGAAGGCGACUAUCUGGACAGAUACUGACACUGAGACACGAAAGCGUGGGGAGCAAACAGG
rnacentral:rRNA from 1 species